GGGAGCCGCAGGGAAACCGAGUCUUAACUGGGCGUUAAGUUGCAGGGUAUAGACCCGAAACCCGGUGAUCUAGCCAUGGGCAGGUUGAAGGUUGGGUAACACUAACUGGAGGACCGAACCGACUAAUGUUGAAAAAUUAGCGGAUGACUUGUGGCUGGGGGUGAAAGGCCAAUCAAACCGGGAGAUAGCUGGUUCUCCCCGAAAGCUAUUUAGGUAGCGCCUCGUGAACUCAUCUUCGGGGGUAGAGCACUGUUUCGGCUAGGGGGUCAUCCCGACUUACCAACCCGAUGCAAACUACGAAUACCGAAGAAUGUUAUCACGGGAGACACACGGCGGGUGCUAACGUCCGUCGUGAAGAGGGAAACAACCCAGACCGCCAGCUAAGGUCCCAAAGUCAUGGUUAAGUGGGAAACGAUGUGGGAAGGCACAGACAGCCAGGAUGUUGGCUUAGAAGCAGCCAUCAUUUAAAGAAAGCGUAAUAGCUCACUGGUCGAGUCGGCCUGCGCGGAAGAUGUAACGGGGCUAAACCAUGCACCGAAGCUGCGGCAGCGACACUAUGUGUUGUUGGGUAGGGGAGCGUUCUGUAAGCCUGCGAAGGUGUGCUGUGAGGCAUGCUGGAGGUAUCAGAAGUGCGAAUGCUGACAUAAGUAACGAUAAAGCGGGUGAAAAGCCCGCUCGCCGGAAGACCAAGGGUUCCUGUCCAACGUUAAUCGGGGCAGGGUGAGUCGACCCCUAAGGCGAGGCCGAAAGGCGUAGUCGAUGGGAAACAGGUUAAUAUUCCUGUACUUGGUGUUACUGCGAAGGGGGGACGGAGAAGGCUAUGUUAGCCGGGCGACGGUUGUCCCGGUUUAAGCAUGUAGGCUGAUUGUCCAGGCAAAUCCGGAUAAUCAAGGCUGAGGUGUGAUGACGAGGCACUACGGUGCUGAAGUAACAAAUGCCCUGCUUCCAGGAAAAGCCUCUAAGCAUCAGGUAACAUUAAAUCGUACCCCAAACCGACACAGGUGGUCAGGUAGAGAAUACCAAGGCGCUUGAGAGAACUCGGGUGAAGGAACUAGGCAAAAUGGUGCCGUAACUUCGGGAGAAGGCACGCUGGUGUGUAGGUGAAGUCCCUGCGGAUGGAGCUGAGACCAGUCGAAGAUACCAGCUGGCUGCAACUGUUUAUUAAAAACACAGCACUGUGCAAACACGAAAGUGGACGUAUACGGUGUGACGCCUGCCCGGUGCCGGAAGGUUAAUUGAUGGGGUUAUCCGUAAGGAGAAGCUCUUGAUCGAAGCCCCGGUAAACGGCGGCCGUAACUAUAACGGUCCUAAGGUAGCGAAAUUCCUUGUCGGGUAAGUUCCGACCUGCACGAAUGGCGUAAUGAUGGCCAGGCUGUCUCCACCCGAGACUCAGUGAAAUUGAACUCGCUGUGAAGAUGCAGUGUACCCGCGGCAAGACGGAAAGACCCCGUGAACCUUUACUAUAGCUUGACACUGAACAUUGAGCCUUGAUGUGUAGGAUAGGUGGGAGGCUUUGAAGCGUGGACGCCAGUCUGCGUGGAGCCAACCUUGAAAUACCACCCUUUAAUGUUUGAUGUUCUAACGUUGGCCCCUGA
rnacentral:rRNA from 1 species